UAAAGGAAUUCUGUUACGAGGUCUGUUGUUGCAAAUAAGCUUUGCCGUCAGUUAGUUUUAAGAACUAUAUAGUUGGCUAAUAUAUAUUUCUUCUUUUUUUAUUAAAUUAGUGUCGAGAACUCAAUAAAUAAAUAAUGACACCCUUUUGAGAUUUGUCAUUGCGAAAUCGACGCGGUAGGUUAUCGAGGUCAUUCAAACGGAUGACUAAUGAGUAAUUACGAGAGUUGUAAAAAUAACUUGAUAUGUCUGAAUGAUGUAAACUUCGAUUGAGCUGAAAUAAAUAUAUUCUUUAUUUGCGCCUGAUAAGUAUCUAUCAAUAUAACACAAAGACGACCUUUGCUAUGACAAAACUCGUCAUUGUUUGAAAAAAUCCGUUUUGGUGUUUAAAUUGCUUGAGUGGAGACGAACUGUUUGGUAUUGAGUCGGCUUCAUGGGUAUACUGAAACUAUUUCAAUUCGUACCAAAACGACCGAGGAGGAAGAACCACCUAAAUGUAUAACUGACGCCGAGGUUAAAUGCUGUUCAACAUUCACGGCUGGUCGACGAUUGAGCUCUACGAGGUUUAACUUCAAGUUCUACAAUCAUUUCGAUCCAAGUCGUUUCAGUACAUCCAUGAAGACAAAAAGGUACAGCUCCAGCUACUUCUUUCGACACUUCAACCAAGUCCUUAAGUUACCGAAUAAAACAGAAAAAAAAGCGAAGUAUCUUUUCAUUUAUAUAGAACAAUUGAAAGAUCUUAGAAGAGAUUUAAGAAUGUUGCUCAGUUAAGUUUCAUUUGUUACGUGACCUGUUACUACGAACGUAUUUUGAAUUUUGAAAUAAAUUGAA